AAAAGAGGCUUUACCUUGGAGCUGUCAAACUCCCUGCCUCCUCUGGCUUAAGGCAGACGCUGCUGGGCCCUAAGCCCUGAUAUGGGGGGAGGGCUUCUCCCUGAGGGGCAAACCUCUGCCUUGGGGGGAGGUCACGAGGCCACAGGGCACGGAGUUCUUCUUGGUAGAGCCGCAGGACGGCCUUUGAGGGGAGCUGCAGCCCACUCUUGGCUCGCUCAGCUUUGAGGAUGAUGGAGCUGGCUUGGCUUGGAGUAAGAAACGCAUACAUGAUUAUAGACAACUUGGAAAACAGAAACCCAUGAAGAUGGAAGGAAGAAAGCUGCCAUGAUCCGAGAUAACUGCUGUUAACAAACUGGCAGAUCCAUUCGAUUUGGGACUCAACAAAUAAGGAAAACAAUUCUGUCUCCUUGGAGCUUCUCUCACUGGUCUUGAUCCUGGAAGGCAUCAGCGCAGUGCCUCUCCCAUCAGCAGGCUGGCCCUCAGGGAGCCUGGAGGGAAUCAUGGAGGACUCUGGCCUUGGUUUAUGCUGAGGACACCAUCCAAGUGACCACCACCACAGGCUGCCUCCAGGAGUGAUGCUCUGGGGCUGGUGCCUUUUUGCUCACCAGGAGCCCCAUGGUGAGACAAGGACCACUCUCCUAGAACACAGAUUUUUCUGAUUUUGUUUUUUAUCCCGGCUGAGCUUGGAACCAGUUGUGUGAUCUUGGGUAACUCAUUUAAUUUGUGUGGGCUUCAAUUUAUUGGCCUGUGAAAUGUAGCUGAUGAACCUGAGUCAGUGUUUUUUAAUCAUUUCUUUUUGGGGGACAAAAAAAAAAAAAAGCAAUUUCUAACCAUUUCCACUAAGGAGGUUUUGUGGAGCAUUACUUGCUGCAAUUUACA